GACGAACGCUGGCGGCGUGCUUAACACAUGCAAGUCGAACGGAAAGGCCCUGCUUUUGUGGGGUGCUCGAGUGGCGAACGGGUGAGUAACACGUGAGUAACCUGCCCUUGACUUUGGGAUAACUUCAGGAAACUGGGGCUAAUACCGGAUAGGAGCUCCUGCUGCAUGGUGGGGGUUGGAAAGUUUCGGCGGUUGGGGAUGGACUCGCGGCUUAUCAGCUUGUUGGUGGGGUAGUGGCUUACCAAGGCUUUGACGGGUAGCCGGCCUGAGAGGGUGACCGGCCACAUGGGGACUGAGAUACGGCCCAGACUCCUACGGGAGGCAGCAGUGGGGAAUAUUGCACAAUGGGCGGAAGCCUGAUGCAGCAACGCCGCGUGCGGGAUGACGGCCUUCGGGUUGUAAACCGCUUUCGCCUGUGACGAAGCGUGAGUGACGGUAAUGGGAAAGAAGCACCGGCUAACUACGUG
rnacentral:rRNA from 1 species